CCUACGGGUGGCUGCAGUGGGGAAUUUUGGACAAUGGGCGCAAGCCUGAUCCAGCCAUGCCGCGUGUGGGAAGAAGGCCUUCGGGUUGUAAACCACUUUUGUCAGGGAAGAAACGGUUCAAUCUAAUACAUUGAACUAAUGACGGUACCUGAAGAAUAAGCACCGGCUAACUACGUGCCAGCAGCCGCGGUAAUACGUAGGGUGCAUGCGUUGAUCGAAAUUACUGGGCGUAACUUGUGCGCAGGCGGCUGAAAUCCCCGGGCUCAACCUGGGAACUGCAUGUGUGACUGCAUGGCUAGAGUGAGGCAGAGGGGGAUGGAAUUCCGCGUGUAGCAGUGAAAUGCGUAGAUAUGCGGAGGAACACCGAUGGCGAAGGCAAUCCCCUGGGCCUGCACUGACGCUCAUGCACGAAAGCGUGGGGAGCAAACAGGAUUAGAUACCCUGGUAGUC
rnacentral:rRNA from 1 species